rnacentral:lncRNA from 1 species
GAGGGCAUCUGGAGAGCAGAUAGCUUGUAGACUACAUUCACUUUCUAGAUGAGUGUUUGCCAAAUGUGUCCUAGUUCCCAGACUGGAUCCCAACGACACAGGCAUUGGGAGCUCCAAAUGUCCCUCCCCUGCUUCCUAAUUCAAACCUCCUAUGACAGUGUCAAGGGGCUAUUUAUAAAGUCAUUUUCUUUGUACUUGAUAACAGCAUGAGAUCCAAAACGCUUAGAAAGUAGGACAUUGGUUUGAUUGGAAAAAAAGGGGGGGGGGCGGGGGGUACACCUUAAAGCUCUCCAGAAGUUUCUGCAAUAGCGUUAGUUGAAGAUCCUGCCAUUCCUCAUGGUUAGUUAGUUUCAAAAGACAGUAUCCCAUCCGUGAGCUGAUUUCUGGUGAUGGGAAGUUUUGGAAUGUCAGAAGGCUGUUGAGUAUCUGCCCGAGAGUGAGGGACACUCAGUUCUCCCUGGGGAUCUUGGCUCCAUCAUCCAUAUAGUGUUUGUGAGACUGAGGGCUGAAGCACAGGCGAGCAGGUAGCUAGCAGCAGCUCUCCGCUCCAUUCGCCCCUGAGACCUUGUGCCCUGGUUCUUGGCUUCUGGGAAAGCCAUGGGAAGGGAUUAAAAGUCCUUGGGAAGAUUUGAUAGUUACUCCCAAGGGGAAGGGGACUGGGCAAUGGCCAAGAAAGCCUGUGGCAAUAAUAACAAUAGUUCAUAUGGGUUCAUCCUAUCACCUAAGGUAGCCUUUAAUCUCCUCAUAGCUAGGUGACCCUUGACCAAAUAAACCAGGACUUGUGUGGGUAGGACCUGGAUGCCAAUAUGUUACAGUGUUCCUAUGGGCUGUCACUGGUACGGCCAAGUCCUGGAGAUGCCAUUGCGUCACUAUGGUGAAAGGCGGGUCUUCUUAGCACACAGCUAGCUUGUGACACAGACGUUUCCAGUAGGGCUUUGUAAUGGUGUCAGUGUGGUCUUGCUCUCCACAAGCCAGCUGAGGGAUGAGGUGGUUUCUGUGAGGCCUCUGAGAACCAGUUUUGUGGAGCAUUGUGAGUGAGCUCAAUAUAGUGUCUGGGUGUUGAUGUUAUUUCCUUAAAUUUUGUCUGCAAGAAAGAUAGAGAAAGUAUGUGUCUGUUUUGAAGUCCUCCUUCUAGUGCCCCACCCCUUCCUUAGAGUUCACAAAUCAUUCAAGGGACUUCAGUAAGAUAACAAUGCAAUACUUGUAACUUGUGUAAAUAGCCCCAUCUUUCUGAGUGGUGUCAUUUCUACAUUUGAUAUGCUUGUAUUUCUGUAGGAUGUACAUUUUUUUUAGAAGAGUCAACCAUGUCUGUUUUUAUUUAUUGCUUGAAAAAAGAUCAUUUGAAGAAAAAUAAAUACAUUUUCAACC